AGGUGCCUUCCAACUCAAACCACUGAGUCUACGAAGGGCUCAGCCCUCAGGCACAAGUAUAUUUGUUAAAGAUUUUCUUAUGAAAAUCUUCCAGCCCUCAACAGGAGCAGCAUUUUUCCCAAGCCCAUUGUGCAAAUGGCAAAAUAAGACAACAUGCAGCAAACUGCUUACCUGGACUAAACUCCAGGACUGACAAAGAGUUGUGAUGCAACAUCAAGAGUUAACAACAGGCUUUUCAAGGGAGCCUUUGAUCAUUUAAAGCCUCGACUGUCAUUACACUUCUCCUGGGACACUGAUUUUUCCACUACUUCUUGCUGGGUGAACUCUGACCGCUAAGAGACUUAAGGGACUAAAACAUGUCCUUUUGUGA